ensembl:lncRNA
AUUUAUUCACAAUGAGAAAAGGAAUAAAAAUUUGCAAUUUGUGAAAAGCUGACAGACAAAAAUAUCACUAAAUCCGGAAAAACAUUCCAAUAUUUUUAUUGAUUACUGUUUGACCUUUGUUUUCUCCUAAUACUUUGGCUCAAUUCUCCUUUAAAACCUUUUCCUAUGAUCAGGAUUUAUUUUUUAUUAUUGCUAGUUUGGAACAUUUUCUUUCACCUUCACUCCUCUUUAAUGGUAAUGUCAUUUUUAAUUUUAGGAUUGCCCAUUUGAGAGAAAAUCCAAAUGGGUUUUUUCAUCUGUGAGCUGUUUUCAUGUGCUUUGCAGGUUUUGCAGUUCCUUACUGGAAUUCCAACUAAUUCUGUUUUACAAGAUUGCCAUACAAAUAUUUUUUCAAUGUCUGGAACAUUCUUUAUACACCUAUUUCAAAAUAUAUUUCUAAGAGGAGUGAGCUUCUGUUUGAUUCGAUUUUGUUGGGAAACAAAUCCGCUAUACAUUUUUACACUGCUGAGGAUGUUAAGAGUCUUCUUCAGGCUACCUUCUGGUUCUAUUUAUUCCAAGUCUUGCUGCUCCCUGGCUGCUCCCACACCUUUGGUGCGAGCGGCUGCAGGGCAUGUUUCAGUUCACAGUGCUUCCUCUGGGCCAAGACCUGCACGGCGCUAUGCAAAGUGAGUUGGCGCAAGAAGUAUAGACCUGUUUUUGGAAGCCCUUGACUCACUGGGAAGGCUAGCAGUAAAUUCAUAAUACUCAAACUGACUGUGAAUCCUGUAAAUAUAUUCCACUAAAUUCAAACUAAGUGUGCCCCCAUUCAACCUCUUCUUUAUUGGAUUUCAGUAAUACGUAUGGACGUGGCAACAGCAGCAGGCAAGAGGGGAAACAUGUAAGCACACGGGGGUGGUCAGACGAGAGGAGACAGUAGAGAUAGCCAAGUGCAGUUAAAAUGCUGCACCCUGACGUAUUUUAUGGGCAUAUCACACUCUUCCAGUCUCUUCCUGGAAUUUUCUUUUUUUCUUUUUUUUUUUUUGAGACAGAGUCUCACUCUGUAGCUCAGGCUGAAGUGCAGUGGUGUGAUCUAGGCCUACCCACCGUCCGCCUCCCGAGUUCAAGUGAUUCUCCUGCCUCAGCCUCCCGAGUAUCUGGGAGACCAGCUGGCAUGCCACCAUGCCCGACUGGUCUCGAACUCCUGACCUCAGGUGAUUUGCUCUCCAUGGCCUGCCAUAGUUCUGGGAUUACAGGCACGAGCCAUUGCACCUGGCUUCUUCCUGAACUUUGAAAGAAGCCUGUGCAAAUGAGGGACAUAGACUUGGUUCAGUACCUUCUUGGCAAUGCACUUGAGUUAAAACAAAGUUGCUCAUAUUUAAAAGUAGUGCUAAGAUUAUACUUUUUUUCCCAUUGUGCUCUGCCUCCGCAUAUUCAGUCUCCUUUAUUUUGCCUCUAGAAAGACAUGUUUCAGUAAGAGUUAAGCACAUACACUAUAAGAAUUUAACCAAAAGGAAUGUAUUGUGAACUAUUUUUGUAGGUAGCAAUUUCUAGACUUCAAAUGACUCCGUUCAAAUUCUGAAAUUCUCAUAUUACAUUGGCAGCUUCAUAUGUAGGGCUUUGUUACUAUUGGCUCUAGCUAUAGUACCUUUGAAAUGCACCACCUUAAGGUAAU